UCCCUCUUUUUAUUUUCUCUUUAUAUAAGGUGCUCAAAACUCCUCGAUUCUCAGUUUCAAACCACAAAAAUAUAAAAUAGAGUCAAUAUGAAGAGACAUCUUCUGACAUUGUUAUUCUUCUUUCUCCUUCUUGACCCAUCUCUUUCACUAAUGCAGCUAUCUGGCGCUGAAAUGUUCGGCGGCGACGUCGUGGAAUUUGUCAAGCAACUCAAGCAAAUUUUUCCAGAUGUGGCACGCGAUACUGGACCCAACAUUUUGACAACAAUUUGGGGCUAUAUAACACAGCCAUGUGCUUCGCCGAAGAGUAAUAUCCCAGGCCUCCAUUAUGUAAAACAGUAUCUCAACUACUACGGUUACUUACAAGAUUCAUACGGCAGUAGUUUCACAGAUGAAAUGGAUCAGAACACCGUUUCCGCCAUCAAACAAUAUCAAAAAUUCUUCCGUCUCCACGACACCACCGGAAACCUCAACCAAGAGACUCUAGAUCUGAUUUCGCGGUUCCGCUGCGGUGUCCCGGACGAUAUCAUGGUUGGACUCCAAAACUUCAACGACAAGAUGGUGGUAGGGGUAAGCCUUAUAGAACUUAGUGUGUCUAACAAUGAUGUUGGGUACAUGCUUUUGGAUGCUAAUAACAAGAACUGGGCCCUUCCAAAUGUGGGGUCAUUGGGAACUGGUGGAAUUGACUUGGGUGCUGUGGCCAUGCACCAGAUAGGGCAUCUUAUUGGGCUUUCACACUCCGGUGACAGUGAAUCGGUUAUGUAUCCGUAUAUUUUGCCUGGAAACCGGAGGAAGGUGCAGCUCUCAAACGAUGAUAUACAGCAGAUCAAGCAACUUUCUUCCGCUAAUGGAAAUGGAAAUGGAGUUGGGUCCAGUCAUUGGGGAUUGAUUACCACAUUCCUACUUGGAUUUCCAUGCUUGUUCCUCUUGUACUAGCUCUCUUAACCGCUACGUGUGACUCUGAUUGUGUGAAUGUUUUUUUAAGUUUUUGUCAAUGUUUUUUAUUUCUUCGUCUUCGUCAAAGUCUUUACCUCUUUGCCGUCUUGCCACAUCUUUAUCAAUGCUACUAGGUAUGCAUUAAGGGUGUAUGGUGUAUGUGGUUGGAGGAUUAAUAAAAUUUUUAAUUUCCAGGGAUCUUUGGAAAUAUUUUAUUUC